rnacentral:rRNA from 1 species
UACGUAGGGACCAAGCGUUGUUCGGAUUUACUGGGCGUAAAGGGCGCGUAGGCGGUGCGGUAAGUCACUUGUGAAAUCUCUGAGCUUAACUCAGAACGGCCAAGUGAUACUGCAGUGCUAGAGUGCGGAAGGGGCAAUCGGAAUUCUUGGUGUAGCGGUGAAAUGCGUAGAUAUCAAGAGGAACACCUGAGGUGAAGACGGGUUGCUGGGCCGACACUGACGUGGAGCGCGAAAGCCAGGGGAGCAAACGGGG